rnacentral:misc_RNA from 1 species
GAUGAAGAACGUAGCGAAAUGCGAUACGUAAUGUGAAUUGCAGAGUUCAGUGAAUCAUCGAAUCUUUGAACGCACAUUGCGCCCGCCAGUAUUCUGGCGAGCAUGCCUGUUCGAGCGUCAUUUCAACCAUCAAGCCCCAGGCUUGUGUUGGAGCCCUGCGGCUGCCGCAGCCUCCCAAAACCAGUGGCGGGCUCGCUAUCACACCGAGUGCAGUAGUUUACUCUUCGCUCAGGGCGUGUGGCGGGUGCUAGCCGUGAAACCCCCAACUUCUCAAGGUUGACCUCGGAUCAGGUAGGAAUACCCGCUGAACUUAAGCAUAUCAAUAAGCGGAGGA